ensembl:lncRNA
CUGUGUAAAUAUAGCAGGGUUAAACUGGGACUUCAUGUUAAAGAGAAACAUGUUUUCAAGAGCGUGGUGUAAUGUGUGUGAAGCUCGUCCUUGUAGGUUCUUGUGUGUCUCUAUAAGCCGAGUGUUUGGAGGAGUUCAUAGAAUCUAUCACCUUGGCAGAGCAUCAUUAUUGUAGGACGUAGUUCACAAAAUACACGGUAGGUGGCGGUAAUGAUCCUAGGAGUGAACGGCCAUUAACAAGAAGAAGAAGAAGUUGUUGUUGUUUACCGCUUUUUGAAUCAGAGCUGCAGGAUUAUCGAGUGUGUGAGGUAAGUUUAUCUUUUCUCUUUUAGUUUAGUGUAACAAGGGCGUAUCCACGGUAUGGACAUUAGGGGUCCAAUCCCCAACAUCCAGAGUCUGAUACUGAAAAUUCUCACAUGUAGAAGAUAGUUUUAGGAUUACAGUUACGGUUUGAAUUCAGGUGAUGUCUGAGAUAAGGUGUGUUCAGGAAAACCCCACACACUAACAUUUAAACACACAAUCACGACUUUUAAACACACUCAGAAAGGAUGGCUACCUAUGGAACGAAAUUCAACACUAUACAUGUAAUAAAUACAAUUUCCCCACGGAUGAUUCCGAGCAAAGGCGUUCAAAGGGAAAAACAUUUUAGGAAAUUUUCUGAGAAUAUGAUAAAGAUGGAGAAUCUUUACAGACACGUGCAAGCAGGCUACUUCCGGUUCAUCUCUUACAAAGUAGUGAAAACGCUAUGAACAUAAGAAAUGGUUCAUUUACUCAAAUAUUCUUCUAUUUCAACAAGAUCCACUAGAUGGUGCUAAAAUGCAAGAAAUCGCACCUGCCGAAUAGAAUGAUGCAUUUUCCAGAAGUAGCAAAUAGAAUAACUUCUAAUGGGUACAAAUUACAUAUCCAAAAUAUGUUUAUGUAAACCAUGUGACUAUAAUCAAUGCUGUACUUGAACAUAUGACAGAUUAUUCCUUUAUCAAAAAAAAAAUCUGUGUGUGUGCGUGUCUCAAUUCCACACAGACACGCACACACACACACUUUAGCUUUUUUUAUUUAGUAUUAAAUUAAAUACACAAUCAUGUCUUCAUUUGAUUGAAGUUGGUUCUGUUGCGUUCUCACUCUUAACCCUUAUUUUGACUGGACUUUCUCUUCACUCUAUUCUUCAACAUUCCCCCACUUUUCAGCCUUUCCCUUUCCUUUCCUUUCUCUCAGUUGUUGAUGUCUUUCCUGAGACUCUUGUGUAUCAAUCAUUUCUUCCAGACUUCCCCAGUCUGCUCCCCACACUAUCAGACUAUAUUUAUUAUCCUCACUGCCAUUUAAAAUACCAGACACGUUCCUAUUUCAUCACACUUUAAAGAUCUGGCUCCGCCCACUUCUCCCCGUUUCCCCGCCCCCUGUCACGAGCUCUAAGGUGUGGUCUGUUCUGUGGUGUUUUAAACUUUUAUCAACUGCUCAGCUGAGGUUUAAGGUCUAAAACUAAAAAAUAAAGUUCGGCUGUACUGAGUUCAUGACUUUAACUGAGGGAGAGAGAGCAGAAGAGACACACACACACACACAGAAUGAGUGAGAGAGAAGAAUUGCUUCUCACUUGCAAAACACCGGAGCAAGUCCACAACAGAAUGGCUUCAGGAAAACAAAAUCUGCCUUUGGAGGGGCGGAGUCUGAGCCCAGACCUCUACCCAAUAGAGAUGCUAUGGAAUGACGUGAAGAGAGCCGUACACACGAGACGUCCAAAGAACAUGACCGAGCUAAAACAGUUCUGCAGGAAGAACGGGAUAAAACUCCUCCUGAACGAUGUGCAGGUCUGAUCCACAGCUACAGGAAGUGCCUGGUUGAGGUUAUUGCUGCCAAGCGGGGGGUCAACCAGUUAUUAAUUCUAAGGGUUCACUUACUUUUUCCACUGCCAUUUUGAAUGUUGAAUGAGCGUGUUCAAUAAAGACAUGAGGAUCAGGAUUUAUUUUGUGUUAUUAUUUUAGGCACAUUAUAUUUGUCAAUACCCCUGACUUAGAUGAAGAUCAGAUCACAUUUUAUGACAAAUUUAUUCAGAAAACCAUGAAAUUCCAACGGGUUCACAUACUUUUUCUUGUGUGUGUGUGUAUGUAUGUAUGUAUGUAUAUGUGUGUGUG